UACGGAAGGCAGCAGUGGGGAAUAUUGCACAAUGGGCGCAAGCCUGAUGCAGCCAUGCCGCGUGUAUGAAGAAGGCCUUCGGGUUGUAAAGUACUUUCAGCGGGGAGGAAGGCGAUGUGGUUAAUAACCGCGUCGAUUGACGUUACCCGCAGAAGAAGCACCGGCUAACUCCGUGCCAGCAGCCGCGGUAAUACGGAGGGUGCAAGCGUUAAUCGGAAUUACUGGGCGUAAAGCGCACGCAGGCGGUCUGUUAAGUCAGAUGUGAAAUCCCCGGGCUUAAACCUGGGAACUGCAUUUUGAAACUGGCAGGCUUGAGUCUCGUAGAGGGGGUAGAAUUCCAGGUGUAGCGGUGAAAUGCGUAGAGAUCUGGAGGAAAUCCGGUGGCGAAGGCGGCCCCUGGACGAAGACUGACGCUCAGGUGCGAAAGCGUGGGGAGCGAAAACAGGGAUUAGGAUACC
rnacentral:rRNA from 1 species